rnacentral:ncRNA from 1 species
UCGCCCACAAUCUGUUCAAACGGUUUCAACACGGAUGUAUUUGGACGUGCCGUGAAAAGGCGGCAUGUUUUGAGUGGUCGGCUUUGGCCGAAGCCCAGAUUGGGGCAUCCUUGUUGGGGUCGUUUUUCGAGUGACAGUCAUUCGAAAACAUCCCACAAUUGGUCUCCUCGCGCUAACCCCGUAGCGUGUGGUUUUUAGCGGGCUCCAGGCCCGCUUUUUUUU